GUCUGGGAACAGUUUGCCUCCCUGCUGAAAAACAACAUGUGAGAAGAAACUGCUCUCUUUCUACUUCAGCUGUUGGAGGAUUUUCUGCUUAGAAUUUUGAUCAUGAGAAAGGCUGAGGACAAAAGCCAACUCCAGACAAAAUGGAGCAAAAGGAAGGAAAGAAUGUGAUAGCACCAUUCCGAUCGGAGUUAAUCAACUCUGGACCGCCUACCUCUGGACUUCUUGGUAUGGAGAUAAUGGAAGCAGAAUGCUGACAAACUUUUCCUGAUGAGCAGUUUGCUUAUUUUCUGACAUCAUGACAAUAACUGGUGAGGAAGGAAGAUGCAGAUGCAGUGUGCAGGAAACACAUCAAGGGACUUGAAAGCUGCUUCCACCUGCUUCCGUCUUUACUGGAAAUCCUCAUGAGCCUCAGUGAAGGCUGCAUCCAUUUAAGACUGCCUUUUUUUCCUUUUUUCUGGGCUAUGUGAACUAUGAUUGCAAUUAGCUUGGACAUCAACAUUGUAAGCGGGUGAGAGCUAAUGGUUACCAGGUAUAAACACUCACAAGAUAGGCUAAAACUGACAGUUUUCAUGUAAUCAGCUCCAUGCAGCAGCCACCUCGGGCUGUAGUUCUGAGUAUGGGACAUCUGGAGCUGCACUUUAAUUGCUGGUUGUAAUAGUUGCACAGCUGUUUGUAACAUUUCUGGCUAUGUUAAUCAUGGCUGCAGUCAUGCUUAUUGGAAAGCUACACUGGAGAGGCCAAUGCAUGAGUAUCGACAGUUGUUGACUUAGAAAGUCACAUUGUAUAUUUCCUUACUGAGCAUCAUACAAAGAAAAAUCAAAAGUGCAAAAAGAAUAAAGUUUAAUAAAAAUCUCAAUUCAUCAAUCUCCAAGCAUAUCUGUGUCCAGAAACAUUAACAGAUCAUUUCCUGAAACGUACAACCAAACCACUCAAAGGGAGGGUCUAUCACUGUGUUUCAGGAAACUCACUCACUGUGGAAACAUGAGGGCUGUUUACCCUCAUGUUUGCCUUCUUUUACCUUCUUUAAAAGCUUAUAUCUAUCAGAGCAUCCUUCAAGAAUUGAAUGUGAUAUAUGAUAGAAAAAAGUAGUAAGUUCCAGAGAAGAGAUAAGAACCUCCAUGCUCUGGACUAGACAGAAAAAUGUGUGUUUCUUUCCCUACAUGCAUAAUGAGUUCUCUGUGCUCUAACACUGUUCAGAAAACUCUGGGCCUAGAGACAAGUUACAGUUUCCACUCUGCACUGCCAAUUGGGAGAUCUUGGGCAAAUCAUUUUGCUUUUCUAAGCCUCAGUUUCCUAAUCAGUAAAAAGAAAGAAUUGGGCUAGAUUAUUUGUGAAGUCUUUUGCAUCUCUCAUAUCUUUUGUAUGGACCUGAUUUUUUUUUCUUUUUGGUGAGGAAGAUUGGCUCUGAGCUAACAUCUGUUGUCAAUCUUCCUCUUUUUGCUUGAGAAAGAUUGUUGCUGAGCUAACAUCUAUG
rnacentral:lncRNA from 1 species